GGCACUUUCAGUGUCCGAGUUGUAAUCUCGAGAAGUAUUUUCCGCGCCGGACCGCAUACAAGUCUGUUGGAAUACAGCGUCAUAGUGGUGAGAACCCCGUAACUGAUGCGGAUGCCCGGUGCUUUGUGAUAUACUUUCGAAGAGUCGAGUUGUUUGGGAAUGCAGCUCAAAUUGGGUGGUAAAUUCCAUCUAAAGCUAAAUAUUGGAGCAAGACCGAUAGCGAACAAGUACCGUGAGGGAAAGAUGAAAAGCACUUUGGAAAGAGAGUUAACAGUACGUGAAAUUGUUGGAAGGGAAACGCUUGAAGUCAGACUUGCUAUUCGGAGUUCAGCCGCAAGGUGUAUUCUUCGAUUUGCAGGCCAGCAUCAGUUUUUGGGGGUG
rnacentral:rRNA from 1 species